rnacentral:sRNA from 25 species
AUCAAGCAAGCCGUGCUGACCAGACCACCCUGAGCGUAGUCGAAGGGUAGCCGUUAUUUGAGUCACGACACCCCGGAAUGCGAAGCUAGUUCCCUGCUCUGUC